rnacentral:rRNA from 1 species
UACGUAGGGUGCGAGCGUUAAUCGGAAUUACUGGGCGUAAAGCGUGCGCAGGCGGUUCUCCAAGUCCGUUGUGAAAGCCCCGGGCUCAACCUGGGAAUGGCAGUGGAAACUAGGGGACUGGAAUCUGGCAGAGGGGGGUGGAAUGCCGCGUGUAGCAGUGAAAUGCGUAGAGAUGCGGCGGAACACCGAUGGCGAAGGCAGCCCCCUGGGUCAACACUGACGCUCAUGCACGAAAGCGUGGGGAGCAAACAGG